CCAUUUUGCUGAAGUUGGUUGGGUUCUGUCACUUAUCCCCCAAAGGGCCUUGCUUUGAGGAGCUUAAGGGUGGGGCAAGCUCCAGGAACAUCACACUGCAUCCUCCCCACCUCCACCUCCAACACAUUUCUCUGUUGAUCUGUGUAGAUGUAGUAUUGGCCGGAUGGAGAGACCUCCCCUUCCCUUGGCAGAUUCUCUGACUCUGCACAACCUCCAACUGAAACCUUGGGUAAUGAGUCAAAUCCAUUUUACCUGCCUUCACUAAUCAAGGACUUGCAUGUCCUAAACAAUAAGAUGUCUGAACGAGUUGUUUUCCAGGAGCUUGGAGUCAGCUGUGUCUCGUUCCAGCUGAGCCCGCUGAGAUUGGACAGGACCACCGGGCAGGCGUGAGUGUUCCCUUGCCGACCUUUUGACGUCAGUGGGUCCAAGACUCCACCCUCAGAUCGUGGUAAGUGCCUGCACUUUGUAACAUACAGAGGCCCGUAGCUUGGUUGCACCUGUGCAGAACCACCAUGACUGCACCUUUUCUCAAUUGCCUUUCCCCACGCUCCCCACGCGGCCACCGCCCUGCUGCUUUAUUCUCAAUCCCAUAAAUACCCCAAACUCCUCCCCUUCAGGGAAGCAGAUCUGAGAUGUGUUUGCUUGCCUCCGUGCUUUGCUGCGAACCUCAGAGUCUCAGCGUUCUGGCUUGCAGUGUGUUGGGCAAAACGGAGCUGGUUCGGUGACAGCCCCACCCUCCAGGAGUACCCAAGCAACCAGAAUGAACGAUCCACGGCUACGGGGCAGCCACGUCGAUGAAACGUGUGAACCUCGUGUCGAGCAAAAGAAGCCGAGUUCCAAAAGGUCAUCUAUCAAACUAAAGUUCUUUAAAACACGCAUUUCCUACAACGGGCCAAAAUACAAACGCUUACCCCAGAGAUCAGGAGACUGAAGAU